UGGAACUCAUCUUUUGAGAGAGCUGGGCAAGGAACAACUACAGUCUUCAGGUUUCAGUCCUGGGCUUGCUUCUAUAAGUCUGAACUAUACACCAUCAGAUUGGCCUUCCAGAGCACAACUCUGCUAGUUGACAUAGAAAUGCUGCAAUUUGAAGGGCUAAGCAGGGCUGGUGCUGUGAGACCAUGAUGACAGAUAGCUAGUUUGGCAGGAUGAGGAGCAUUAUAGCUGUCUUUUUGAGCUGAUCCUGUUACUAACACUUGCUCAGUAAUGGAGCCUGCUUGUCUCCUUCUGUGACCAAGACAUUUUCUUCAGUGCAGCUGUAGUUAUGAAGACCCUGCAGAGCUGAGUGUGGCAUCCUGGUUUGACAGCUGGGCAGACUGCAAUACUUGCAGACGAAAACAAAUGGUAACAUUUCACACAGAUGCUCAGGGAUAUAGCAUAACUCCUGUUUUUCUCACAGAAAAUGCUUCAAGAUCAGAGUGUGAUGCAAAAUCCUUUGGAGGAAAUGUGAAGAACCCUCUUGAUCCUGGACAAGUAUGGAUUGGUGUCUCUAUGUCUUUGCUUAAUGCAGGAGAGAACAAGUCCAGCAGUGUGAGAGACCAUAAGGCAUACCUCAACCCUAUUCCAUGCAUCAGUUAA
rnacentral:lncRNA from 13 species